CGGAUGAAUCAACUCCUAGCCCUGGUUCCUAAGUUGCCUUUCUGACGUCGUUCCCACAGAAACAAUAUGGAGCCCUGGCCGUGACCAUAAGUCACCAGGGUGCAUGGCAGAAAUGCCCGCAUCUCCCGUAUCUGGAAAGGUGUUAAAGGUGCUUCAAC
rnacentral:ncRNA from 2 species